GAUGAAGAACGUAGCGAAAUGCGAUACGUAAUGUGAAUUGCAGAAUUCAGUGAAUCAUCAAAUCUUUGAACGCAUAUUGCGCUCUCUGGUAUUCCGGAGAGCAUGCUUGUUUGAGUAUCAGUAAACACCUCAACUUCCAUAUCUUUUUUGAAAUGGGAGUUGAACUUGAGUGAUCCCAACGCUUUUCCUCACCGAAAAGUGGCGGGUUACUUGAAAUGCAGGUGCAGCUGGACUUUUCUCUGAGCUAUAAGCAUAUCUAUUUAGUCUGCCUAAAAAACAGAUUAUUACCUUUGCUGCAGCUAACAUAAAGGAGAUUAGUUCUUGUGCUGACUGAUGCAGGAUUCACAAAGACGGCUUCGGCCGACUUUGUAAACUCGAUCUCAAAUCAAGUAAGACUACCCGCUGAACUUAAGCAUAUCAAUAAGCGGAGGA
rnacentral:misc_RNA from 1 species